rnacentral:tRNA from 2 species
GCGCCGCUAGUGUAAGGGUAAGCACGCCACUCAUCCAGAGUGAAGGUCGGGGUCCGAUUCCCACGGCGGCGCUCCA